rnacentral:rRNA from 1 species
GAUGAACGCUGGCGGCGUGCCUAAGACAUGCAAGUCGAGCGAACAGACGAGGAGCUUGCUCCUCUUACGUUAGCGGCGGACGGGUGAGUAACACGUGGAUAACCUACCUAUAAGACUGGGAUAACUUCGGGAAACCGGAGCUAAUACCGGAUAAUAUAUUGAACCGCAUGGUUCAAUAGUGAAAUACGGUUUUGCUGUCACUUAUAGAUGGAUCCGCGCCGCAUUAGCUAGUUGGUAAGGUAACGGCUUACCAAGGCAACGAUGCGUAGCCGACCUGAGAGGGUGAUCGGCCACACUGGAACUGAGCCACGGUCCAGACUCCUACGGGAGGCAGCAGUAGGGAAUCUUCCGCAAUGGGCGCAAGCCUGACGGAGCAACGCCGCGUGAGUGAUGAAGGUCUUCGGAUCGUAAAACUCUGUUAUUAGGGAAGAACAAAUGUGUAAGUAACUAUGCACGUCUUGACGGUACCUAAUCAGAAAGCCACGGCUAACUACGUG